AUUGAACGCUAGCGGCAUGCCUUAAACAUGCAAGUCGAACGGAGUGGCGAACGGGUGAGUAAUGUAUAGGAACGUGCCAAGUAGCGGGGGAUAACUACGAGAAAGCGUAGCUAAUACCGCAUACUAUUGGAGCGGCCGAGAUCGGAUUAGCUAGUUGGUGGGGUAAAGGCUCACCAGGGCGAAGAUCCGUAGCUGGUUUGAGAGGACGAGCAGCCACCCUGGGACUGAGACACGGCCCAGACUCCUACGGGAGGCAGCAGUGGGGAAUAUUGGACAAUGGGGUAAACCCUGAUCCAGCCAUCCCGCGUGUGUGAAGAAGGCCUUCGGGUCGUAAAGCACUUUAGGCUGGAAAGCGGUACCGGCAGAAUAAGCACCGGCUAACUACGUGCCAGCAGCCGCGGUAAUUC
rnacentral:rRNA from 1 species